AUGGACUCUGGCCUCAUCCUCCUAAAUUGCGGAGGAUCAGGGCAAGAGGUUGAUAGUGGUGGUCGUACUUGGGACGGGGACAACGGCUCCAAGUUCACACCAUCUGUGGAAGGAGUUGCAGCCAGUGCUUCAUACCAAGACCCUUCCCUCCCCUCCAUGGUCCCUUACAUGACUGCACACAUCUUCACUUCAAAUUACACCUAUUCCUUCCCCGUUAGACCAGGCCGCAUGUUCUUACGUCUUUACUUCUAUCCAGUUGCUUAUGGAAACUAUGUUACCCCCGAUGCCAUUUUUGGUGUCAUGGCAGAAAAUCUUGUCCUCUUAAAUGGUUACAAUGCUUCGCAAACAGCUCAAGCAAUCAAUUAUGCCUACCUUGUCCGUGAGUUCUCGUUGAAUGUUUUUUCACAUAGCUUGGACCUCACCUUUUCACCAUCAGCAUUUCAGAAUGGUUCAUAUGCAUUUAUCAAUGGCAUUGAGAUUGUGCCCACGCCUGACAUCUUCACAACACCUGACGCAACUUUUGUCCAUGGUGAUUACAUAGCACCAUUCACAUCUUUCGCUAACACAGCCUUCCAGACUAUGUACCGUAAUGUCGGGGGCCAAGCCAUUUCCCCGAAAGAUGACACGGGCUAUUAUCGCUCAUGGGACGAUGAUUCCCCAUACAUAUAUGGUGCCGGCUAUGGGGUGACCUACUCCAAAGAUCCUAAUGUGACCAUCAUGUAUACACCCACAGUGCCGAAUUACACAGCGCCACUUGAUGUCUAUGGUACAGCUCGGUCGAUGGGGCCAGAUCCACAGCUCAACCUCAACUACAACCUUACAUGGAUUUUGCCGGUUGAUGCCGGAUUCGUGUACCUCCUAAGGUUCCAUCUCUGUGAGAUUCAGUCUACUUUUACCUUGCAAAAUCAGAGGACUUUCUACAUCUACAUCAACAACCAGACAGCGUGUGACCCCAUGGAUGUAAUCUUCUGGAGCGGAGGAAUUGGUAGACCAAUAUACAAAGACUAUGUUAUCGUGGCUAGUGGUUCCGGUCAGGUGGACAUGUGGAUUGCACUGCACCCUUAUAUUUCAAGUAGAUCACAAUAUUAUGAUGCAAUACUGAAUGGUCUUGAGGUCUUUAAGCUACAGGGUCACGGAUCGAACAAUCUGUAAUGGCCGGCGCCCGAAGUUCCACAAAAGCUUGAUGUGGAUCCUAAUAGGCUGUCUAGCGGUGUACGAAAAUCCAAAGGUGACAUACUAGCAGCCAUCGGUGGCGGAUUUGCUUUGAUGUUGAUUGUUCUUUUCAGUAUGUGUGUUAUCUGCAGACGG
rnacentral:rRNA from 1 species